rnacentral:rRNA from 1 species
UACGGAGUUAGCCGAUCCUUAUUCUUACGAUACCGUCAAGCUCCAACACGUUGGAGUGUUUCUUCUCGUACAAAAGCAGUUUACAAUCCAUAGGACCGUCAUCCUGCACGCGGCAUGGCUGGAUCAGGCUUGCGCCCAUUGUCCAAUAUUCCUCACUGCUGCCUCCCGUAGGAGUCUGGUCCGUGUCUCAGUACCAGUGUGGGGGAUCUCCCUCUCAGGACCCCUACCCAUCGUAGCCUUGGUAAGCCGUUACCUUACCAACCAGCUAAUGGGACGCAUGCUCAUCUUUCACCGUUGUGACUUUAAUAAUAUCCUGAUGCCAGGUCAUUAUACUAUGAGGUAUUAAUCCAAAUUUCUCUGGGCUAUCCCUCUGUGAAAGGCAGAUUGCAUACGCGUUACGCACCCGUGCGCCGGUCUCUAGCACCGAAGUGCUAUACCCCUCGACUUGCAUGUGUUAAGCCUGCCGCUAGCGUUCAUCCUGAGCCAA